UACGUAGGGUGCAAGCGUUGUCCGGAAUUAUUGGGCGUAAAGAGCGCGUAGGCGGUCCGAUAAGUCCGCUGUGAAAGUCGGGGGGCUCAACCCUCGAAUGCCGGUGGAUACUGUCGGGCUAGAGUGCGGAAGAGGCGAGUGGAAUUCCUGGUGUAGCGGUGAAAUGCGCAGAUAUCAGGAGGAACACCAAUUGCGAAGGCAGCUCGCUGGGACGUUACUGACGCUGAGACGCGAAAGCGUGGGGAGCAAACAGG
rnacentral:rRNA from 1 species